GAUUAUGGCUCAGGACGAACGCUGGCGGCGUGCUUAACACAUGCAAGUCGAACGAUGACGGUGGUGCUUGCACCGCCUGAUUAGUGGCGAACGGGUGAGUAACACGUGAGUAACCUGCCCUCCACUUCGGGAUAACCUCGGGAAAUCGUGGCUAAUACCGGAUAUGAGCACUCAUCGCAUGGUGGGUGUUGGAAAGAUUUAUCGGUGGGGGAUGGACUCGCGGCCUAUCAGUUUGUUGGUGAGGUGAUGGCUCACCAAGACGAUGACGGGUAGCCGGCCUGAGAGGGCGACCGGCCACACUGGGACUGAGACACGGCCCAGACUCCUACGGGAGGCAGCAGUGGGGAAUAUUGCACAAUGGGCGAAAGCCUGAUGCAGCGACGCCGCGUGGGGGAUGACGGCCUUCGGGUUGUAAACCCCUUUCAGUAGGGAAGAAGCGAGAGUGACGGUACCUGCAGAAGAAGCGCCGGCUAACUACGUGCCAGCAGCCGCGGUAAUACGUAGGGCGCAAGCGUUGUCCGGAAUUAUUGGGCGUAAAGAGCUUGUAGGUGGCUUGUCGCGUCUGCCGUGAAAACCCGAGGCUCAACCUCGGGCGUGCGGUGGGUACGGGCAGGCUAGAGUGUGGUAGGGGAGACUGGAACUCCUGGUGUAGCGGUGAAAUGCGCAGAUAUCAGGAAGAACACCGAUGGCGAAGGCAGGUCUCUGGGCCAUUACUGACACUGAGAAGCGAAAGCAUGGGUAGCGAACAGGAUUAGAUACCCUGGUAGUCCAUGCCGUAAACGUUGGGCACUAGGUGUGGGGGACAUUCCACGUUUCCGCGCCGUAGCUAACGCAUUAAGUG
rnacentral:rRNA from 1 species